CCUACGGGAGGCUGCAGUAAGGAAUAUUGGUCAAUGGACGGAAGUCUGAACCAGCCAUCCCGCGUGCAGGAUGAAGGUCCUAUGGAUUGUAAACUGCUUUUAGCAGAGACGAAGACCCAUCAUUUAUGAUGGAGUGACGGUAUCUGCGGAAUAAGCACCGGCUAACUCCGUGCCAGCAGCCGCGGUAAUACGGAGGGUGCAAGCGUUAUCCGGAAUCACUGGGUUUAAAGGGUGCGUAGGCGGAGAAUUAAGUCAGUGGUGAAAUCCUGUCGCUUAACGAUAGAACUGCCAUUGAUACUGAUUUUCUUGAAUUGGGUUGAGGUUAGCGGAAUGUGACAUGUAGCGGUGAAAUGCAUAGAUAUGUCAUGGAACACCAAUUGCGAAGGCAGCUAACUGGGCCUUGAUUGACGCUGAGGCACGAAAGCGUGGGUAGCGAACAGGAUUAGAUACCCCGGUAGUC
rnacentral:rRNA from 1 species